rnacentral:misc_RNA from 1 species
GAUGAAGAACGUAGCGAAAUGCGAUAAGUAAUGUGAAUUGCAGAAUUCAGUGAAUCAUCGAAUCUUUGAACGCACAUUGCGCCCGCCAGUAUUCUGGCGGGCAUGCCUGUUCGAGCGUCAUUACAACCCUCAGGCCCCCGGGCCUGGCGUUGGGGAUCGGCGGAAGCCCCCUGCGGGCACAACGCCGUCCCCCAAAUACAGUGGCGGUCCCGCCGCAGCUUCCAUUGCGUAGUAGCUAACACCUCGCAACUGGAGAGCGGCGCGGCCACGCCGUAAAACACCCAACUUCUGAAAGUUGACCUCGAAUCAGGUAGGAAUACCCGCUGAACUUAAGCAUAUCAAUAAGCGGAGGA